rnacentral:lncRNA from 1 species
GAGGAUCAAUCUUGAGAGAGGAGAAGUUUACAUCUAGGAGUGAGGGGACCGCAUCACGAAUUCUGGAGGUUUUUCUUCUAGGGGGAUCUUUUGGCCGCUAAAGAAAGAAGCAGAGAGGGGAGGAUCGAUCUUGAGAGAGGAGAAGUUUACAUCUAGGAUUGAGGGGACCGCAUCACAAAUUCUGGAGGUUUUUCAUCUUUCAUCUUUUUGGGAUCUUUUGGCCGGAAAAGAA